rnacentral:pre_miRNA from 1 species
GUCGUCCGUCUAGCGCGGGGCAUCUUGUGUCGAAAACUACCAGUUUCGACACGAGAUGCUCUGUGCUAGGCGGACCUG